rnacentral:rRNA from 1 species
GGCGGCUACUGCUAUCAGGUUUCGACUAAGCCAUGCGAGUCAAGGGGUCGUAAGACACCGGCGUACUGCUCAGUAACACGCGGACAAUCUACCCCCAGGUGGGGGAUAACCUCGGGAAACUGAGGCUAAUACCCCAUAGUUGUCAUGUGCUGGAAUGCUUUGACGAUGAAAGAAUUUCGCCUGAGGAUGAGUCUGCGGCCUAUCAGGUAGUAUGUGGUGUAAAGGACCACAUAGCCUAAGACGGGUACGGGCCUUGAAAGAGGGAGCCCGGAGAUGGACUCUGAGACACUAGUCCAGGCCCUACGGGGCGCAGCAGGCGCGAAAACUGUGCAAUGCGCGCAAGCGCGACACGGGAAGCCUGAGUGCCUUAACUAUGUUAAGGCUUUUCUUGAUCCUAAAAAGCUCAAGGAAUAAGAGCUGGGUAAGACGGGUGCCAGCCGCCGCGGUAACACCCGCGGCUCGAGUGGUAGUCACUUUUAUUGAGCCUAAAGCGUUUGUAGCCGGAUUUGUAAAUCUCUAGGAAAAUACUUCUGCUUAACUGAAGAAAUUUUGGAGAGACUGCAAAUCUAGGGACCGGGUGAGGUUGAAUGUACUUCUGGGGUAGGGGUAAAAUCCUGUAAUCCUGGAAGGACGACCGGUGGCGAAGGCGUUCAACUAGAACGGAUCCGACGGUGAGGAACGAAGGCUAGGGGAGCAAACCGGAUUAGAUACCCGGGUAGUCCUAGCUGUAAACACUGCCCACUUGGUGUUGCAUCUCCGGUAAGGGGGUGCAGUGCCGUAGCGAAGGUGUUAAGUGGGCCGCUUGGGGAGUAUGGUCGCAAGGCUGAAACUUAAAGGAAUUGGCGGGGGAGCACCGCAACGGGAGGAGCGUGCGGUUUAAUUGGAUUCAACGCCGGAAAACUCACCGGAGGCGACCUGUGUAUGAGAGUCAACCUGAUGAAUUUACUCGAUAGCAGGAGAGGUGGUGCAUGGCCGUCGUCAGCUCGUACCGUAGGGCGUUCACUUAAGUGUGAUAACGAGCGAGACCCUCAUCUUCAAUUGCUAAGCUAACCGUGAGGUUGGUAGAACUUUGAAGGGACCGCCAGUGCAGAACUGGAGGAAGGAGGGG